GUAGCCUACGGGACGCAGCAGGGGGGGAUAUUGGACAAUGGGGGGAACCCUGAUCCAGCGACGCCGCGUGAGUGAAGAAGUAUCUCGGUAUGUAAAGCUCUAUCAGCAGGGAAGAAAGAAAUGACGGUACCUGAGUAAGAAGCCCCGGCUAACUACGUGCCAGCAGCCGUGGUAAUACGUAGGGGGCAAGCGUUAUCCGGAAUUACUGGGUGUAAAGGGAGCGUAGACGGUGAAGUAAGUCUGGAGUGAGAGGCGGGGGGCCCACCCCC
rnacentral:rRNA from 1 species